GAUGAACGCUGGCGGCGUGCCUAAUACAUGCAAGUCGAGCGAACAGACGAGGAGCUUGCUCCUCUGACGUUAGCGGCGGACGGGUGAGUAACACGUGGAUAACCUACCUAUAAGACUGGGAUAACUUCGGGAAACCGGAGCUAAUACCGGAUAAUAUAUCGAACCGCAUGGUUCGAUAGUGAAAGAUGGCUCUGCUAUCACUUAUAGAUGGACCUGCGCCGUAUUAGCUAGUUGGUAAGGUAACGGCUUACCAAGGCAACGAUACGUAGCCGACCUGAGAGGCUGAUCGGCCACACUGGAACUGCGACACGGUCCAGACUCCUACGGGAGGCAGCAGUAGGGAAUCUUCCGCCAUGGGCGAGAGCCUGACCGAGCAACGCCGCGUGAGUGAUGAAGGUCUUCGGAUCGUAAAACUCUGUUAUUAGGGAAGAACAACCGUGUAAUUAACUGUGCCCGUCUUGACGGUCCCUACUCAGAAAGCCACGCCUCACUACGUG
rnacentral:rRNA from 1 species